GUCUCGUUAGCGCAGAAGGCAGCGCGUCAGUCUUUUAAUCUGAAGGUCGUGAGUUCGAUCCUCACACGGGGCA
rnacentral:tRNA from 1 species